rnacentral:lncRNA from 1 species
AUGGCGCCAGAAAGAAAGAAGAGCCAAACUAAAUUUGGCAUUUCACCUUUCAUUUCCCCCCAAAUGCUGUCUACCCACAGCCCCAACUCAGUGUCAGAUGUUUCAAAUGUUUUCAUUGUUCCUUCCCCCAGCCCAGCUCCAAAUCCCAGAAAGAAAGGGGGGAAAAUCAAUGCCAUACAGAUGUGUUUAUCCCCUCUUGCCUGGAUAAAAGACUUCUUUCAAGUACUGUGCAUAUCUUCCAGGCUGAAUCUCUGCACGCUUAGGAAUGCCACAUGGCGGUCCGGUCAGGGCUGCUCUUGUGCUGUCCUUUUCAUGUCAAAUCCAAGCUUUUGUUCUCUGAUGUUAAGGUUGACAGAUGUGUUCGCAGGCAGCCAGCACGCUGAAAACACAUGGCAGACCGAAGCCCCUGGUCUCCUUGGCCAAAAUAUGGCCAAUGACAUUGGCAAAAACCUCCACAAUUUCCCAACAGGCUCCAGGAUCUCACUGGCACGGAGACGGGGUGAGAUGAGGAUGAUGCAGGGCUGGGACCAUGCUUGGGAAAGAGAAAGGGAGGAGAAACAGCAGUGGGUCCUCACUUCAUCCCAGGACCUGAGGGUACUACCAUUAGAUCUGGUAUGCUCGGUGGGCUGGGUUUUGAUAUUAAGUUGUAUCAGAGGCUUGCAAAACCUUGUAUUACUCGACUCUCUGUUUCCUGAUGUGCACACACAGGUAAACAGCUCUCUCCCUUUCCCUCUUUCCUUCCUUCCAUCCUUUCUGCUUUCUCUCCUUCCCUUCCUUUUUCCCUCCCUCCCUUCUUCUCUCCAUUUUUCCUUCCUUCCUUCUUUCUUUUUUUCUAUCUAUCUGUUUUUCUGUAUUUCUUUUCUAUCCUCUCUCAAACUCUCUUUUUCCUUUCCUCCCUCUUACUUUCCUUUCUCAUGCUCACUUUCCCAUCUUUAUCUCUGCUUUUCUUCCCCAUGUCUAUCUCUCUAUGCUCCACCCACAUACAUCUCUCUCUCUCUCUCUCUCUCUCUCUCUCUCUCUCUCUCUCGCUCUCAAUCUCUCACAUGCACACGCGCAGGUGCACACACACACACACACACACACACCCCUCUCUCUCACACAUGUCCUUCUCAAGUCUCAGAGACUGAACCAUACUGA